rnacentral:rRNA from 1 species
GACGGAGGAUGCAAGUGUUAUCCGGAAUCACUGGGCGUAAAGCGUCUGUAGGUGGUUUAACAAGUCCACUGUUAAAGGUUGAAGCUUAACUUCAAAAAUGCCGUGGAAACUUUUAAACUUGAGUAUGAUAGGGGUAGAGGGAAUUUCCAGUGGAGCGGUGAAAUGCGUAGAUAUUGGAAAGACCACCGAUGGCGAAGGCACUCUACUGGGCCAUUACUGACGCUGAGAGACGAAAGCUAGGGGAGCAAAUGGG